rnacentral:tRNA from 1 species
GCCAGAGUGGCAUAGUGGUUUGAGUGUAGGACUGCAACUCUGGAGACCAGGGUUCGAUUCUCCACUCAGCCA